rnacentral:lncRNA from 1 species
CUCACUCAUUCAUUCAGCCGUCACGCUCGGAUCCGUUCUCCGUAGCAUAAUCCCUUCGCAUUCCCUGUCCAAGGCCAGCAUCCCCGCAACGCAAGUCUUUGUUAACCCAGUGUUUGCCAGGCAAAUGCAGCUUCCAGACAACUCACCCGUCUCUCCUGCCCCACUUCAGGUCUUUUGCAGCUGCCUUGGGCCCUUAGCGCCCACGUCCCAGACCCGGACCUCUUGGCUCAGAUCUUGGAUGAACCUAGCAACCUUGAGGACAGACAGGUAAUUUCAACAUUUUCUCCUGUGGAAGGCAGAAUCCCUCCUCCUUCUCUCAAGGAUAUCCAUAUCCUAAUCUCUGGAACCUGUUACCUUACACGAUGAAAAGAACUUUGCAGAUGUAAUUAAGUUUAUGACCUCAUCUCUACAAAAAUACAAAAAUUAGCCUGGCACAGUGGCGGGUGCCAGUAAUCCCAGCUACCCAGGAGGCUGAGGCAGGAGAAUUGCGUGAACUGGGGAGGCAGAGGUUGCAGUGAGCCAGGAUCGCGCCACUGCACUCCAGCCUGUGUGACAGAACCAGGCUCCAUCUCAAUAAUAUAAAAUAAAAACAGAGGAAGGACUCAAUGAAAGACUCGAUGCAGUGUUGCUGGUUUCAAGAUGUGGGAGGAGGGCUCUCUGACAAGGAAGGCAGGUGUCCUUGAAGAGCUGAGAGAGGGCCAGUUUAGGUGGCUUCUGACUGUAAUCCGAGCGCCUUUGGGAGGCUGUGGUAGGAGGAUUGCUUGAGACCAAGAGUUUGAGACCAGCCUGGGCAACAUAGCGAGAAGCCCA